CGUCACGUGCUCGGGUGUCUGCUGCUGUGUUCUGUGGCUAGGACAGCAUAUCAGGUGCCCAAUCGCAGACAGACGGAGAGAGAUGCCACUAGACUUGGUAGGCAAGCUGCACCGCACCGUGUACAUCACGGAUUGCCCAGAGGACUCACAAGAGGACCUGCUGCACAUGCUUCUGAAGCGCUGCGGCGCGAUCGAGGCAUGGGACGUUGUCGAUGGCCGGCUCGUUGUGGUGUUUCGAAGCAUGAACAGCGUCAGCAACGCCCUCACCUUCCACGGUAUGUCCUUUGUGGACUUGACGAGAAAGAUUUGUGUGUGGAAAGCCACAGACGCGCCACCGGCGGAGGCAACACAUCAGCUGGCCAUCCAAGGAGGCUCUGCCACUGCGGAGGCGGCUCCGAUGGAGGCCACAUCGACCGAAGAGGAGGACAGCCGCCGAGCGCAGCGGAAGGAGCGGCGCGCUGCACUGCAGCAGAUCCUGAAUAGCGGCGUGGCGGACCUUGUCGACACUUCCUCGCUGGAGGGCCGGCAAGCAAAGAUGACGGAGCUGUGCUACCGACAGCUCAAGGCCCUCUGCGUGCUCUCUGCUGCCGCGGCGAAGGAUGCGAGGGCGGAACUGGAGGAGAAGAAGGAGAACCUUGCACGAUUGCAAGACCUGAUCCGCACUCAAGAGGCAGCGCCCAAACGGCAAUGGGAGGGAUCGGCUGAGGUGGGCGAGGAAGAGCCGGCGAGGGCGAGGCGCCGCGUGUAGCCAACCUCGCCCUCUUGUUUCUUACCGACGUGCAGCUUUGGUGAAGGAGACAUCAGAUGAGGUGGGGUGGAGCGGGAUGAUGAUAGUCUGCUGGUGCCGGGGUGCCCUCACGGCAUGGAAGGCCACGUAGCACGUUGAGCACCGGAAGGCAAAGGCACUGCGCCAGUGCGGCGAUGGAGAGAUGGCGCGCUUGCGUGCCCUUGUAGCCGUGCAUGUGUCGCUCUGGAGGGGGAGCAAAAGGGGAAGAGGCGGAGCCGCAGCCGCAACACGGACUGCAACGGAAAACCGCCCGCGCGCCCCCCUCGCCUGUUGUCACGCAGCAGGAACGCAUCCCUCUGCCAUUUCUGCAGAUGAGUUUUGCAUGUCUCUGCGACUGUAUCCCUCUUGUGUUGCGGUCACCACCGCCGUCUUCCUCCCCUCCUCCUGCUUCUUUACACACGCGCGUUCAUUACAACGCCACAG
rnacentral:misc_RNA from 1 species